rnacentral:rRNA from 1 species
UACGGAGGGAGCUAGCGUUGUUCGGAAUUACGUGGGCGUAAAGCGCACGUAGGCGGCUUUGUAAGUUAGAGGUGAAAGCCCGGGGCUCAACUCCGGACUGCCUUUAAGACUGCAUCGCUUGAAUCCAGGAGAGGUGAGUGGAAUUCCGAGUGUAGAGGUGAAAUUCGUAGAUAUUCGGAAGAACACCAGUGGCGAAGGCGGCUGACACUGGAGCUGGUAUUGACGCUGAGGUGCGAAAGCGUGGGGAGCGAACAGG